CCUACGGGAGGCAGCAGUGGGGAAUAUUGGGCAAUGGGCGCAAGCCUGACCCAGCAACGCCGCGUGAGGGAAGAAGGCUUUCGGGUUGUAAACUUCUUUUGACAGGGAAGAGCAGAAGACGGUACCUGUCGAAUAAGCCACGGCUAACUACGUGCGAGCAGCCGCGGUAAUACGUAGGUGGCAAGCGUUGUCCGGAUUUACUGGGUGGAAAGGGCGUGUAGCCGGGCUGACAAGUCAGAUGUGAAAUCCGGGGGCUCAACCCCCGAACUGCAUUUGAAACUGUUGGGCUUGAGUAUCGGAGAGGCAGGCGGAAUUCCUAGUGUAGCGGUGAAAUGCGUAGAUAUUAGGAGGAACACCAGUGGCGAAGGCGGCCUGCUGGACGACAACUGACGGUGAGGCGCGAAAGCGUGGGGAGCAAACAGGAUUAGAUACCCUAGUAGUC
rnacentral:rRNA from 1 species